rnacentral:rRNA from 1 species
CUUGCUCCUUUGGCGUCGAGCGGCGGACGGGUGAGUAAUGCUUGGGAAUGUGCCUUAUGGUGGGGGACAACAGUUGGAAACGACUGCUAAUACCGCAUAAUGUCUUCGGACCAAAGUGGGGGACCUUCGGGCCUCACGCCAUAAGAUCAGCCCAAGUGGGAUUAGCUAGUUGGUAAGGUAAUGGCUUACCAAGGCGACGAUCCCUAGCUGGUUUGAGAGGAUGAUCAGCCACACUGGGACUGAGACACGGCCCAGACUCCUACGGGAGGCAGCAGUGGGGAAUAUUGCACAAUGGGCGCAAGCCUGAUGCAGCCAUGCCGCGUGUGUGAAGAAGGCCUUCGGGUUGUAAAGCACUUUCAGUAAGGAGGAAAGGUUAAGUGUUAAUAGCACUUAGCUGUGACGUUACUUACAGAAGAAGCACCGGCUAACUCCGUGCCAGCAGCCGCGGUAAUACGGAGGGUGCGAGCGUUAAUCGGAAUUACUGGGCGUAAAGCGUACGCAGGCGGUUUGUUAAGCGAGAUGUGAAAGCCCCGGGCUCAACCUGGGAACUGCAUUUCGAACUGGCAAACUAGAGUGUGAUAGAGGGUGGUAGAAUUUCAGGUGUAGCGGUGAAAUGCGUAGAGAUCUGAGGAGUACCGAUGGCGAAGGCAGCCACCUGGGUCAACACUGACGCUCAUGUACGAAGCGUGGGGAGCAACAGGGAUUAGAUACCCUGGUAGUCCACGCCGUAAACGAUGUCUAC